rnacentral:rRNA from 1 species
AGUGAACGCUGGCGGUAGGCCUAACACAUGCAAGUCGAACGGCAGCACAGUAAGAGCUUGCUCUUACGGGUGGCGAGUGGCGGACGGGUGAGGAAUACAUCGGAAUCUACUUUUUCGCGGGGGAUAACGUAGGGAAACUUACGCUAAUACAGCAUACGACCUACGGGUGAAAGCAGGGGAUCUUUGGACCUUGCGCGAUUGAAUGAGCCGAUGUCGGAUUAGCUAGUUGGCGGGGUAAAGGCCCACCAAGGCGACGAUCCGUAGCUGGUCUGAGAGGAUGAUCAGCCACACUGGAACUGAGACACGGUCCAGACUCCUACGGGAGGCAGCAGUGGGGAAUAUUGGACAAUGGGCGCAAGCCUGAUCCAGCCAUACCGCGUGGGUGAAGAAGGCCUUCGGGUUGUAAAGCCCUUUUGUUGGGAAAGAAAAGCAGCAGGUUAAUACCCCGCUGUUCUGACGGUACCCAAAGAAUAAGCACCGGCUAACUUCGUG